CGGAUUCAUGAGUGGUAUAGCCGGAAACGUGAGAGUUAUCCGGAUUCGUGAGUGGAGUUUUACUUUGGUUGAAUCGGAAGUGAGAAAGGAAGAAGAUUGAGAUUGUGUGUGAGCAGAUAGAGAGUAUUGGGUUUGUUCAUGGCCGAUUUUUGCAGGGAGAAAUAAAUUUUCAUUUUUGGCAUUUUUUCUCCUAAUUACUGUGAAGCGGUCGUGUUUGUU
rnacentral:lncRNA from 1 species